AGAGUUUGAUCCUGGCUCAGAACGAACGUUGGCGGCGUGGAUUAGGCAUGCAAGUCGAACGAAUCCCAGCGGUGUAGCAAUACACUGCUGGGGGAAGUGGCGAAAGGGGCAGUAAGGCGUGGGUAACCUACCCCGGGGACGGGCAUAGCCACUCUAACGAGUGGGUAAUUCCCGGCGAUCUGGCCGAGGGGCAUCUCCUGGCCAGGAAAUGAAUUUCGCCUCGGGAGGGGCUCACGUGGUAUUAGCUAGUUGGUGGGGUAACGGCCCACCAAGGCAACGAUGCCUAGCGGGUGUGAGAGCACGACCCGCGCCACUGGCACUGAGACACUGGCCAGACUCCUACGGGAGGCUGCAGUCGAGGAUCUUCGGCAAUGGGCGCAAGCCUGACCGAGCGACGCCGCGUGCGCGAUGAAGGCCUUCGGGUUGUAAAGCGCUUUGGUGGGGGAGGAAAGCCGAAAGGUCUGACCAACCCCAAGAACAAGCACGGGCUAAGUUCGUGCCAGCAGCCGCGGUAAGACGAACCGUGCGAACGUUGUUCGGAAUCACUGGGCUUAAAGGGCGCGUAGGCGGCUCGCCAAGUCCGGGGUGAAAUCCUCCAGCUCAACUGGAGAAGUGCCUCGGAUACUGGCGAGCUCGAGCGAGGUAGGGGCAGCUGGAACUUCCGGUGGAGCGGUGAAAUGCGUUGAUAUCGGAAGGAACGCCGGUGGCGAAAGCGAGCUGCUGGACCUCUUCUGACGCUGAGGCGCGAAAGCCAGGGGAGCAAACGGGAUUAGAUACCCCGGUAGUCCUGGCCCUAAACGAUGGGUACUAGGUUGUGGGCUUGACAUGGGCUCACAGCCGAAGCAAAAGUGUUAAGUACCCCGCCUGGGGAGUAUGGUCGCAAGGCUGA
rnacentral:rRNA from 1 species